rnacentral:ncRNA from 1 species
GGAGCGGAUGCCGAAAAGCUUAUCUUAAAGAGUAGGCA